GUAGAUGCUUCAGCUGUACAUAUGGUAAAACUGUAAGAAUAAAGAAAAAAUGAGCAUGGCACCUGUGCAAGGAUGACAUGCAAAUUUGUGAAGCAGUCCAUAUUUUA
ensembl:snRNA U6 U6 spliceosomal RNA